CCUGGAGUGGUAAUGGCUCUUGUGUGUAAUGUGUUUGACAUGCUGUACCAGCUUGCGAACCUAGAAGAGCCAAGGAUUACUUUGAGAGUACGGAGGCUUCUUUUGCUGAUUCCUACUGACCCAGCUAUUCAGGAAGCUCUUGAUCAGCUAGAUUCUCUUGGACGAAAG